AGAACGAACGCUGGCGGCAUGCCUAACACAUGCAAGUCGAACGCUUCCGGGGCUUCGGUCGCGGAGGAGUGGCGCACGGGUGAGUAGCGCGUGGGAACCUGCCCUGUUGUGGGGGAUAACCGAGGGAAACUUCGGCUAAUACCGCAUACGCCCCGGGACUUGGUCUUCGGAUUAGGUCUGGGGGGAAAGAUUGAUCGCAGCAGGAGGGGCCCGCGUCGGAUUAGCUGGUUGGUGGGGUAACGGCUCACCAAGGCGAUGAUCCGUAGCUGGUCUGAGAGGAUGAUCAGCCACACUGGGACUGAGACACGGCCCAGACUCCUACGGGAGGCAGCAGUGGGGAAUAUUGGACAAUGGGGGCAACCCUGAUCCAGCAAUGCCGCGUGAGUGAUGAAGGCCUUAGGGUUGUAAAGCUCUUUCGCCCGCGACGAUGAUGACGGUAGCGGGAGAAGAGCCCGGCUAACUCGCGCCAGCAGCCGCGGU
rnacentral:rRNA from 1 species